AAGUCCAGUGACCUUAUCUUCUGCAUCAAUAUCUUCAACACCGUGUCCCCUGGCAUCCUGCUCCCUGGUUGAUGAUGUUUUAUCUCUUCCACCAGAUCUGGCAGCUUUUUUCUCUCAUUCGAUACUUCAACCGCACUCUCUGGUGAGGUUUCUUCUUCCUUCUCCUUUUGUUUACUCAUGUCGUCAUCGCUCUCCUUCUUCUCUUUUUGUUCUUCUUGAGGUCUCACUAUGUUUUUGUCUUGGAUAGAUAUCAAAUCCUCUAGCAUUCGUUCCACAGCGUCCACUCCAUAAACUUCUAAUAAACUCAAGGUGCAAUAAAACUCUGAACCGUAAUGGCUUAGGAAACUUAGCUUUAGAUAUCUCACCCACUGUGGAUCACCGAGUGUAAAGUUCUGCUCGUUCUUCAUGUUUAAAGCUGUGAAGUUCCCCAGAUGAACCCAUGCAUCAGUAGGAUAAACCAAGGUUCCAAGAAUCUCAAAGUCCUUGAGAUUAGAAGAGUAAUGCUCGAAAUUUGCAAUCUUGAUUGUGUUCACCAACGUUUCUUCUGAAAGUUCUAAGACAACGAACUUCUCGUCCAAAUAACUCUCUAGCACUGACAAGCUCAAGUCCAGUGACCUUAUCUUCUGCAUCAAUAUCUUCAACACCGUGUCCCCUGGCAUCCUGCUCCCUGGUUGAUGAUGUUUUAUCUCUUCCACCAGAUCUGGCAGCUUUUUUCUCUCAUUCGAUACUUCAACCGCACUCUCUGGUGAGGUUUCUUCUUCCUUCUCCUUUUGUUUACUCAUGUCGUCAUCGCUCUCCUUCUUCUCUUUUUGUUCUUCUUGAGGUCUCACUAUGUUUUUGUCUUGGAUAGAUAUCAAAUCCUCUAGCAUUCGUUCCACAGCGUCCACUCCAUAAACUUCUAGUAAACUCAAGGUGCAAUAAAACUCUGAACCGUAAUGGCUUAGGAAACUUAGCUUUAGAUAUCUCACCCACUGUGGAUCACCGAGUGUAAAGUUCUGCUCGUUCUUCAUGUUUAAAGCUGUGAAGUUCCCCAGAUGAACCCAUGCAUCAGUAGGAUAAACCAAGGUUCCAAGAAUCUCAAAGUCCUUGAGAUUAGAAGAGUAAUGCUCGAAAUUUGCAAUCUUGAUUGUGUUCACCAACGUUUCUUCUGAAAGUUCUAAGACAACGAACUUCUCUUCAGUUGAACACGGGUUCCGUAGGUACUUGUCUUUG
rnacentral:lncRNA from 1 species